ACCUGUUCGGUAGGUUUACGUCCUGUAAUUCUAUCUGCUGUCUUGUGGAAAGUUUGAUCUUCGUGCCUAUUUUUUGCUUUUUGGAAACAGAUUUGACUCAAAUCUACAGCGAUAUGAAGAUCCAUCUUUUCAUUUUUUCAUUAUUAUUGCUACACAUACAUGGUGGUGAUCCAGAUUCAGUGAAGUCAGUAUCAGUGUUGGAGGGAGAUUCUGUCACUCUGAACACUGAUGAAAUACAGAGUGAAGAUAUGAAAGUGUGGACCUUUGGACCUGACGAAACUGUCAUAGUUAUGAACUCAGAAAUUAAGAUUUUUAGAGACAGAUUGCUGGUGGACCAGUCAAAUGGAUCUCUUACCAUCAACAACAUCACAGCUAAUUUUUCUGGAAUAUAUAAAUUAAACAUCGUCAAGAGGAACUUAUACAAGACAUUUAAUGUUACUGUCUAUGCUCAUCUGCCUGUUCCUGUCAUCAGCAGAGACUGUUCUUCAUCAUCAU